rnacentral:rRNA from 1 species
AUGUACUAUCGUUGGAUUGACACGGAGAAGCCGGCUUGGGCAGUGACUGAGAUUCGUGAAAGAAGUCGUCGUGCGUGGAAUAGUUUAUUUGCGGAAGAGCGACGCGAGAAGGCGGAAGCUGAGGAGAAAGCAGAGCAAGAGAGAGAGUUAAAAGAAUACUAUGCGGAGCAACACCGUUUUUUUCAGGAUUUAGGAAAGAAAAACAGGGAAGAGGCUCGUCGCAUGAAGGAGCAGGAACGACAGCGAAAGGAGGCUCGUGAGGCGGAGAGGCAGAGAAAGAAAGAAAGAGCUCGUGAGGCCAAGGCAGCAGAAGAAGCUGGCGAUGGAAAAGGGAAAUAUCCACGCUGGACUCAGUAG